GAGUGCAGUCGCCUCGACUCUUCAACAGUGCCCAGGUGACUCUUGCAUAAGGUGUUCCCGUAUGGCUCCUGAAUGAAAGAAGAGCAGCCUAGCUGAGCUGGGACCUGUCCUCCAGUGCCCAGAGGGGAGCCCCGGGAUGACAAAGCAAAAAGCAACACCCCUUCCUUUUCUCCUGCCAUGGGCAGCAGAAGUAGGGGAAGCUGGGACUGGGCUGAGAUGCAGGGUCCAUAUCACCAACUCCUGAGCAAACCACCAGGUUCAAGCCACCUUGUCCGACAGCACUGAGGACAAAACUCAAGGGCACUCACCAAGCUGCUGCACUGUUGGCACCUUCAAUG
rnacentral:lncRNA from 1 species